UUGUACACACCGCCCGUCACACCACGAGAGUUUGUAACACCCGAAGUCGGUGAGGUAACCUUUUAGGAGCCAGCCGCCUAAGGUGGGAUAGAUGAUUGGGGCGAAGUCGUAACAAGGUAGCCGUAUCGGAAGGUGCGGCUGGAUCACCUCCUUUCUAAGGAA
rnacentral:rRNA from 1 species